rnacentral:rRNA from 1 species
AUUGAACGCUGGCGGCAUGCCUUACACAUGCAAGUCGAACGGCAGCACGGGUGCUUGCACCUGGUGGCGAGUGGCGAACGGGUGAGUAAUACAUCGGAACGUACCUUAUCGUGGGGGAUAACGCAGCGAAAGCUGUGCUAAUACCGCAUACGCCCUGAGGGGGAAAGCGGGGGAUCGAAAGACCUCGCGCGAUUAGAGCGGCCGAUGCCUGAUUAGGUUUUUGGUGGGGUAAAAGCCCACCAAGGCGACGAUCAGUAGCUGGUCUGAGAGGACGAUCAGCCACACUGGGACUGAGACACGGCCCAGACUCCUACGGGAGGCAGCAGUGGGGAAUUUUGGACAAUGGGGGCAACCCUGAUCCAGCAAUGCCGCGUGAGUGAAGAAGGCCUUCGGGUUGUAAAGCUCUUUUGUCAGGGAAGAAACACCGGCUCUAACACAGUCCGGGAAUGACGGUACCUGAAGAAUAAGCACCGGCUAACUACGUGCCAGCCGCCGCGGUAA